CUAACCUGCCCUUAGGACGAGAAUAACCCCGGGAAACUGGGGCUAAUGCUCGAUAGGUGAAGAACUCUGGAAUGAGUCUUCACUCAAAAGAGUCUGCGUUAUGCUCGUAGAUUUCGCUUAAGGAUGGGGCCGCGACCGAUCAGGUUGUUGGUGAGGUAAUGGCUCACCAAGCCUUUUACCGGUGCGGGCCGUGAGAGCGGGAGCCCGGAGAUGGGCACUGAGACAAGGGCCCAGGCCCUACGGGGCGCAGCAGUCGCGAAAACUUUGCAAUACACGAAAGUGUGACAGGGCUAUCCCGAGUGCCAUCCGCUGAGGAAGGCUUUUACCCAGUCUAGAAAGCUGGGGGAAUAAGGAGAGGGCAAGUCUGGUGUCAGCCGCCGCGGUAAUACCAGCUCUCCGAGUGGUGUGGAUGUUUAUUGGGCCUAAAGCAUCCGUAGCUGGCUAAGUUAGUCCCCUGUUAAAUCCAACGAAUUAAUCGUUGGAUCGCGGGGGAUACUGCUUGGCUAGGGGACGAGAGAGGCAGACGGUAUUUCCGGGGUAGGGGUGAAAUCCUAUAAUCCCGGGAAGACCACCAGUGGCGAAGGCUGUCUGCUAGAACGCGCCCGACGGUGAGGGAUGAAAGCUGGGGGAGCGAACCGGAUUAGAUACCCGGGUAGUCCCAGCUGUAAACGAUGCAGGCUAGGUGUUUGGACGGCCACGUGCCGUUCUAGUGCCGCAGGGAAGCUGUUAAGCCUGCCGCCUGGGGAGUACGAUCGCAAGAUUGAAACUUAAAGGAAUUGGCGGGGGAGCACCACAAGGGGUGAAGCUUGCGG
rnacentral:rRNA from 1 species